rnacentral:rRNA from 1 species
UACGAACUGUGCGAACGUUAUUCGGAUUCACUGGGCUUAAAGGGUGCGUAGGCGGCCAUGUAAGUAGGGUGUGAAAUCCCCCGGCUUAACCGGGGAACUGCGCCCUAAACUGUGUGGCUUGAGUGAGAUAGGGGUGUGUGGAACUUCCGGUGGAGCGGUGAAAUGUGUUGAUAUCGGAAGGAACGCCGGUGGCGAAAGCGACACACUGGGUCUCAACUGACGCUGAGGCACGAAAGCCAGGGGAGCGAACGGG